AUUAUAAUUCUUAUAUUAGUUAUAUUUUUCGAAGAAAGAACAUUUAAAUAUUAUAAAGAAUCAUAAAGUUUUGUAGUAAAUCUAAAUUUAUUAUUUAAAAAGUUAAGUUUUAUAAUUAUAUUUUUUGAAGGAAAUAUGUAUAUAUUAUGCAAAUAUCCACAAUUUUUGUCUAUAUAACAAAAAAUGUAAUUUAAAAAUAAUGAAAAUUAAUUUAUUUAAAAAAAAAAUAAAAAGUUUUUCUUUUUAAAUAUUCAAAAACUUAUUUUUUCAAAAUAUUUUAUAAUUAAUUUAUUGUAAAUAUUUAUGCAGCAAGUGCAUCAGUCGCACGGCAUUACAAAUAUAGUAUUAACAGCACGUUUCCGAAUCUUUAUUUGUGCACUAUAAAAUAUAAAUGAAAAAUUGUAAGUGAAAUAUAAAAAUAUAGCACAAAAAUUAAUUGUUAAUAUUAUGAAGUAAUUAAAUUAAUUAUUUAAAAUUUACUGUAAAAACUAUACACCACCACACAGGCUUCCUGCAAUAAUAGUUAGUAAAAACGAGAAUUGAAAUGCUUAAAUGUUUCGAAAAAUUAUAAGAAAAUGUAAAAUAUUUAAAAAAUAUACAAAAAAUAUACGGCAUGAGUAGGAAUAUUAUAAGAUGUGCUAUGAUUAACACACAUAAAUUAAAUAUACAUAAAUGAAGAGCAACAAGCUAGAAGUGCGGCUACAAAAAGCAGAACUUCAAGAAGGCGAUGAAAUAUUUAAAAAAAUUAUUUAAAAAUAUAUAUUAGUUUGUUAAAACCCUCAAUAAAUUUUUACACCAGUGGGCUAAAACGUCAGGAAACAAAAUCUCUUUGUGAAAUAAAAAUUAUUUUUUAAGCGCCUACAAAUAUGCAGCGGCCGAAAAUGUAACGAAGUUAUAAAAUAAUUUCAAUUAUUGCAAUAAGCCAAACAUUUUCUCAUUUGAAAGCCUAAAAAUAUACCUUUGUACAAUUUUUUACAAUUCGCUCCUAAAAGUAGGCAACAUAUGGCUGAAAACUUCAAUUACUUUUCUUCAGUGGCGUUACAUGGCACUUAGCAGCCCUAAUACCUUCUCAAAAUAUAUUUUUUAUUCCUACAGACAACAUAUGCUUAUCAAAAUGUAUGGAAAAUAAUAUUCUGCAUAUAAAAACCUUACUAAUAUUUAAUUUCCAACAAAUACAAAGCAAAAAUAUCAGAAACCUCUAAAACCUUCAUCAAUUAGCAGGCCUUUAAAAUCGCAUAUUGCAUAUGAAUUCAAAUCAACAUUUAUAAACAAACUACUUAAGUAUGUAUGUACAUAUGUAUGUAACUGUUUACCACUUGCCAUGUGCGUUUUAUUGUGCAAUAAAAGUGUAUUUUGUCACUAUGCUAAUCAAGCUAAAUUUAUUCUAUGCACCUUUGGGCACCUUUGAAUAUGUAUGCUUGUAUAUAUUGGCGUGUGUCACUAAUUAAAUUUAUUGUUGUUGUUUUUUCUACUCAUUACGACGCAAUUAUAUGUGUUCAAGUUAUGUGCUCGUAGUUAAAUGUAUAUUUCUGCAAUUAGUAAGUAGCCAAAUUUGAAGAAAAAAUUAUACUUUUUUGCAACUAAACUAUUUAUAUGUACUAUAUAUGUGUGCGUGUAUAUAUGUUACUCACAUUAUAAUUUAAUAAAAAUUUAAAGAAGGCAAAUAAGCGGCUCAUUACUUAAAAUCAUGCAUAUAUACUUUGAAUGUAUGCGAAUUCCCUUUCCGGCAAGUACCCGCCCAUUUAAGUCAGAGCAAAUCAAAGAAAAACAAGUGGAAACCCCCAAAAGAACAUCAAUACUAGCAUAUAGCAUAGAAAGGUGUUGAGAUAUAUUAAUAAAAUCUUAACUAUACAAAUUUAUAUAUAAAAAACUGAAAUUAGCGAAAAUUGAAAAAAUAUUAUCUAAAUAUAUUGCCACUUUUACAAAGUGAUCGAAGCUGUUUAAGUAAAAAAAAAUCUUGAAAGCUAACCACAUAUUUAUACGCUUUUCUAGUGCUUUAAAUAUUAUUAAUACGAAGACAUAUUUUAAUCUUAAUAUUAUUUUUAAAUUUUUUACACGAAUUUUCCUAUUUAAAUUAUGAUAAAAAAUAAUACACAAGCAUAAGCAUAUUUUCACAUUUAAGAAAUAUAUGUGACGAAAACUGAAGUAUAGUUUCAGGCAUAUCUGAGCAUAUAGUGGAGAAAUAUUCUGCUUUCAAAACUAUGAGCCUAUCCUCCACCUGCCUUUAUUUUAAUUUUUUUGUCCUACAUUUUUGUGAGUUCAAAAUCUUACACUUCACUUGAACAUAGAAAAACUGUAUAGCACACUUUUAGGCACAACUUUUCUCUAGUUAUACUCAAUUAAGAGAAGCACACUUUUAGGCAUAACAUGCCCCAUUUUCUAGCAGACUUUUUGGUUCCUCACACUCUUUUUUUUGUUAAUUUUGAUCUCUUCUUCCCUUUCAGACAUACUGAACAAUGCUUAAUGCAAAAUAAGCACCAUAACUAAAUUAAAUUGAUACAUUCCACCUACUUUAAGCGUACAACACAAAAUUUAAUUUCUUCAAAAACAUAUGCACUCAAAUUGCAAACAAGCAAGCACAGUUUUAGGCGCCAAGCAAUGCACAACGUAUUUGUAUUUGAAUUUCACAAACAAAUUAACUAAUUUGAAUGCCGAUUGAAUGUAAAAUAUUAUUAUUAUUAGCACUCAUAUAUGUAAAUAUCUAUUUUACUAAUAUAACAAGCACAAAAAUUUUUUAGGCAUAUAUUUAGGCGCACAUUUUGCACAAACGGCACAAAAUACUAUUUAGAAGCACAAAGCACAGUUUUAGGCGCCUAUGCACAUCACCAAAAUAUUUGACGUAUACCUUUAGGCGCACAUUUUCCACAAACAGCACGAAAUAAUAUUUUGCAGCACGAAGCACAGUUUUAGGCGCCAAACUAACACCUAAGCACUUGUAUUAAACGCUACUAAUAUUGAAAUUCAAAGCACAAAAAUUUUUGAGGUAUACCUUUAGGCGCAUUAACGGCACAAAAUAAUAUUUAGCAGCACAAAGCACAGAUUUAGGCGCCAUAUGCACAUUAAGUACAUGUAUUAAACGCUACUAAUAUUGAACUUAUAUUCUAACUUGCUUUCACUAACAAUUCUGACCUUUUGUUCUAACUUACUUUCACUUUGCACAUAGCACAUUGCACUAGCCGUUUCUGUAAGAAUUUAAGCUAUACAAAUAAGUACUUUAUUUAAUUAAAGCUUUAUUUUAAUUUUUUUAUCGUUUUUCUUCUCUGACUAAGUAAUUUUUUAUACCUCUCCGUUUUUCGAUGCAUAGUUUUAGGUGCUUUCAUUUUCUCCUACAUUUUUUUCCAGCACAUUUUCUAUUUUGAGGCACAUUCGUUUUAUCCUGCACUUAGUAUGACUAAUUUUUGUGAAAAAUAAAUUAUUUCGGAGACCUCAAGCACCAUGCACAUAUUAUUUCAAGCACACUUUUAGGCGCAUAAUAACUCAAAUAGCAAAUGCACUUCUAGAAAUUAAUAUAUGAGCGCUCUUAAAGACUAUGGCACCACACAUUGCACAACAUGCACAUAAAAAAUCAAUGCACUCGCGCACUUUCUUGUUUUCACGUAUACCCAUGGCUGUAUGCAUAGUGAAGCAAAGGACAAAGCACUGCUGAUUGCAUCAAAUGGAUUUAACAUAAGCAAAGUUUAAAUAAUACUUAAGAAACUGAUUCAGCUCCCAAACAGCUUACAAUGCUUCAACAUAAGAGACAUUGGACACCUGGAGAGGAAAAAAUCGGACUUUUUACCAAAUCGAAUGAGUUGCUGGCUAAGGCUUAAUUUGAUUAUCACUCGGGCGUACAAUGGGCCUAAUGAUGGCUUGAGUAUGAUGGCCUAUGGUCUCAUGAACCUUCCUUUUUAGCCAACAACAAAUUCGACUGAAAAUUCAUUGGGUUUCCUUUUUACCAAAAUCGCUGCUUUGCGCUUUGCUUGACUAUGUGCUUGGCCUAAUGCACAGUGUAUUACUCUAAAAGUACUCAAAUCAUAAUUGUUUGAAUUUCAAUUAUUGUAAAUUAUAUUUUUUUCCUAGUUAAACGAAUUUAAUUGGAAAAAAAUUUUAUUUAAUUUAAGUUAAAAUUUUAUAUUUUUUUUAUUAGGCAGCAGUUGAUCUCAUUGUAAAAGUGGUUAUUUGGAACGACUUAAUAAAAUAAUUAUAAAUCAGAAGAACAUCAAUUUAUUAAACUUAACAAAAUUAAAAAAAGUAUUUAUAAAAAAUAUUCAAAAGAUAUUUAAAAAAAUUAAAUUAAACUUAAAAAAUUAAGCCUACAAAAUUAAUUUUUGUAAAAUAAAAGCUCUGUAACAAAUAAUCGACUGAACACUCUAAUUAAUUAUAGAAUAAUGUUAAAUGAAAUGUAUUAGCUAAAAUUAAAACCAAAAAAAUUAAUAUGCAGCUUAAAAAUUAUAAAUUAUUUGAACUUAAAAAAUAUCAUAUAUAUACCAACAAAAUAUAUAAAAAAAAAAUAAAUUUGAUUUAUAACAUCUUAAGACAUAUAUGAAAGAAAGAAAUUACGAAAAGCUUAACCAGAAAAUUAACCAAAUAAUUAACUUAAAGUUCACUAAGCACAUCAAAAUUAUGCAAUAAUAACAACAUAACUGAAACAUAUAAGCUAACUGUAAACACAAAUCACAUGGUAUACUGGUUUGCAGCUAAAUUAAAAUAUAGAAAUCUCAGCGAGUUCUCGAAAACAUUAUUGAAUGUGUAUUUUAUGUGUAUUUUCUUGCUCCCAGCCACACACGAACAAAAUAUUUAUAGUUAUUAAUUUCAAUUGCUAAUAUUAUAAAAGUACAUAAUACUUGCAUAUAAUCAGCAAAAGCGUAAGAAACCUUAAUAUAUAUAUAAAUAUAAUACAUACAUAUAUAUAAUUGACUUGAAAGCACAAAGCAAAAUCCAAAAAAUAAUUAAAUUGAAGUAAAAUAUUAAAGUAAUUGCAGUCUGUAAAAACAAUAGAUCAUCAUUGUAAAUGCAUAUGAAAGUUCCAAUAGCAGUGAAUAAUGUAUUUCCAACAAAUGUAUGCAUUACUUAUAUAGUCUACAACUCACAUACAAAGAAGUAUAUAUAAAAAAGUAAUAAACUAUGAAAUUAAAAGAAUAAAGAGAAAUGUUUGAAAGGAAAACAAAAAUAUAA